GUGGGGAAUUUUGGACAAUGGGCGCAAGCCUGAUCCAGCAAUGCCGCGUGCAGGAAGAAGGCCUUCGGGUUGUAAACUGCUUUUGUACGGAACGAAAAGGCUCUGGCUAAUACCUGGAGCUCAUGACGGUACCGUAAGAAUAAGCACCGGCUAACUACGUGCCAGCAGCCGCGGUAAUACGUAGGGUGCGAGCGUUAAUCGGAAUUACUGGGCGUAAAGCGUGCGCAGGCGGUGCUGUAAGACAGGCGUGAAAUCCCCGGGCUCAACCUGGGAAUUGCGCUUGUGACUGCAGCGCUGGAGUGCGGCAGAGGGGGAUGGAAUUCCGCGUGUAGCAGUGAAAUGCGUAGAUAUGCGGAGGAACACCGAUGGCGAAGGCAAUCCCCUGGGCCUGCACUGACGCUCAUGCACGAAAGCGUGGGGAGCAAACAGGAUUAGAUACCCGGGUAGUCC
rnacentral:rRNA from 1 species